UACGUAGGCAGCAAGCGUUGUUCGGAAUUACUGGGCGUAAAGCGCACGUAGGCGGAUCGAUCAGUCAGGGGUGAAAUCCCAGAGCUCAACUCUGGAACUGCCUUUGAUACUGUCGGUCUAGAGUAUGGAAGAGGUGAGUGGAAUUCCGAGUGUAGAGGUGAAAUUCGUAGAUAUUCGGAGGAACACCAGUGGCGAAGGCGGCUCACUGGUCCAUUACUGACGCUGAGGUGCGAAAGCGUGGGGAGCAAACAGG
rnacentral:rRNA from 1 species